UACGUAGGAUGCAAGCGUUGUUCGGAAUUACUGGGCGUAAAGAGUACGUAGGUGGUAAUAUAAGUCUGUUAUUAAAGACCGGAGCUUAACUCCGGGAAUGUAAUGGAAACUGUAUAGCUAGAGGACAGUAGAGGAAGUCGGAAUUCUCAGUGUAGCGGUGAAAUGCGUAGAUAUUGGGAAGAACACCGGUGGCGAAAGCGGACUUCUGGGCUGUUACUGACGCUGAGGUACGAAAGCGUGGGGAGCAAACAGG
rnacentral:rRNA from 1 species